ensembl:lncRNA
UCUAGUCUGAGGGCUCUGUGGCACGUGGUAGCUAAUUGCAAGGAGUCUGGAAGGCAAUGGAUGGCUACUAGCACAGUAACUGCACAGAAGAGAUAUCAAAGCAGAAAGAGGAAGCAUGGCUGGAGCUGGUGGCAGACUGGGAAGUGAACUCUGACUUCCCCAGCCACAGCCGGCAGCAGAGGUGGAGGGCUCCUUCCUCUCCUCCAAAUGCAUCUUGGAAGGAGUGAGAACAACUUUGCAUUGCGUAGCAAAGAGGUUUUUAUCUGGGUGCUCCAAAACCACCAGCAGUGAAUAUCUUGAACAUUUUGAGUUUAAUGGAGAGACUUUGAAACACAGUGGUUCACAAAGCCAGAGACAGGCAAGUGCUCAACUCCUAUUCUCUGGGGAGGCCAGGUGCGAGUUGUCUUCAGGCUCCUGGAGAGCCUCAGCCUAAAAACCUAGGCGGAUUUCACUGUGCCUUGGGAAGCUCUUAAUGCAGACAAAGCUGCUUUCCAUUGAAGCUUUCUGGUUGGUCCUUGAGAUGCCUUGGCACAUUUUGCCUUGAACGAGGGCGCAGUAACUAGCAAUUUUCCUCCUCGCUGCUGCCCAUUCAGGAAUGUUAGCUGCCACAUUCUGAGCAAGGAAUGGUGCUCUGGGGUUGUUUGUCUUUUCUCUAUGGUUUGUUUAAUUAUACUUGCCCUGAAGACAGCAUUAAUAAGAUACAUAUCUAGUCUUUUCAAAUGAUGCCCUCGCAGUCUCUGACGUUCAUUACUACCUUGCAGUGCCCAUAACUGUUUUCAGGAAACCAGUCUUUUCUCUAGGGAUUGGCAUUAACAGAGUGUAAUAUGCCAUAUCCUCUGAGUCACUGUGGGUUCAUCUCCUCAUUCCAGGAGAUACGGGCAUAGUUGCCCUCUUUAUGGGAGCAAAACUUCUACAGAUGUCAAAGUUGGCAAUUAGAGAAUCUCAGAAAUCUUCUGUCUCUGUGGUGGCUGCACACCAAAAACGCACUUUCUUUCCAUGGGGGAGGAGGAUGCCCAGCAUCCUGCUCCAAAACUGCCCCUUCCCAUCCCAGCAAAAAGUGUGUUUCCACCUAUAUGACCAGUGAGAUAGUUCAACAAAUUAGAUCUAUAGCUGCAUGUAUCUACUAGGUAAUGAAAUUAUUUUUUUUCUAACCAGUUUUAGUUUAGGGAGAGUAAAUUAACUCCUGUUGCUUUGCAAUAGGAAGAAAAAGUCAAAAUAAAAAGUAUGUGAUUUCUGCUUCUUCUGCAAUCUUUGUGCUGUUAAUAGCUGCAAACAACUUGCAUUGCAGUGAAUCAUAAAUAAGAGAUGUCACCAGCUGAAGGGUAAACUGAGCAAAACCCAGGAGCUCUCAAUGCAACUGAAUCUAGGUGGUUUAGGCAAGACUGGAUGGAGCUGGCAGGCAGAGGAGAAGGCACGGCUGGGUCUCGGACAAGCCUUGUGGUCAGCUAAUUUUAAGAUGCCCAGUUAGGCUUAAUUUUCAGUAUAAGUAACAUAAUAUUUGUAGUUUGGAUGCCAAAAUUGUCAGGCAUAGAGGAGGGGAAAAUAUGAAACCCUUCUGUGGAACAGGAUUAGGCAGGAUUAAAGUCUGAAGUGAUCAUGUUGCACUGCGUAGUGGAUACUGCCAGAGCCAACUCAAUAAAACUCAGUGGGACACUUGACAUUGUACAUUUUCAAGCAGCAAGUCAUAAAUCUAUAUUCAUGUGAAAUCUUUUGCAGUCAGCCUGAUGGGAACAGAACAGCUACACAACUUCAGGUGCUGGUUUGGGGAAAUAAAGUGCAAGUUGCUGCCUCGCAGGGAUAGAUCUUUGCUCAGAGAACUGGAAAGCAACUUGAGUGAUGUGCAUAGUUUUGUUUGAAUCAUUCUGCUAAAUGUGGCUUGAUUGUAGGGCAAUGUGAUUGCUACAGACCCAAUAAGAAUCCUUAAAACCUGAGAUUAAAGCCAGCUAUAUGUAUAUUUUUAGCAAGUUGUCCAGAGUUAACUAUAUAUAGAUGGCACUUUGUACAACAGUUCCCAAUUUGACUGCCCAAAGUACAGAAAUACCUGCUUACCUUUUAUAAAUUAAACCACACACUUAAGUGCUUUACUGAAUGGGAAGUACUUAAGCAUUCUGCUUAAAUAUUGGGCUGAGUCAGGUCUAAAUUUGUCUCGCUGUGAGUACAGAAUUACUUCCCUCAGAGCUAGCAUGAGCAGUGAAAGACCAAUGUCAAAAAGAUGUCAUGGAGAAUAUGCAUUCUUGUGUUACACUGCGUGCAUGUGGAGCUGGCUGCACGUCUGCUGGUGGUGCUGGACACACUCUGGAGUUCCUUACUUGAUGGAGUGCUCUUCAUGCUCUGUAUCGAGCAGAUUUCUCAACUGUUGCAGGCUCAACUCCGCCAGCCCCCAGCCAUGAGGCUGCACAGAGCCUUAAACUCGCACAAGGGAUUUGUGAGCAGCCUGCUUGUUGAGAACAAAUCCUCAUCGAAAGGAACGCAUGACUUGCUGACCCUGGGUUCACAGAGCCUUCGUCCUGGCGCUUCCGCACCGCUGAGGAGUCGGCUGCUCUGAAAAUUGGAGUCCCCAGACUGGAAUGGAAGCUCCAACAAAGGACCUGUACGGUUUACAAAUACGCAUCGACUGGGGGACUUUGGGAGAGCUUUGUAAGAACGAUGGCAUUAGGAAAAGAGAGUGUUUCACAGGCAAGAAACCAGUGGAGGUCUAAGUUGAUAAAAAACAUGCUUC